CACGUAGGGCGCGAGCGUUGUCCGGAAUUAUUGGGCGUAAAGAGCUCGUAGGCGGCCUGUUGCGUCCGCUGUGAAGGCCCGGGGCUUAACCCCGGGUCUGCAGUGGAUACGGGCAGGCUAGAGGUAGGUAGGGGAGAAUGGAAUUCCCGGUGUAGCGGUGAAAUGCGCAGAUAUCGGGAGGAACACCGGUGGCGAAGGCGGUUCUCUGGGCCUUACCUGACGCUGAGGAGCGAAAGCGUGGGGAGCGAACAGG
rnacentral:rRNA from 1 species